UACGGAGGGGGCUAGCGUUGUUCGGAAUUACUGGGCGUAAAGCGCACGUAGGCGGCUUUGUAAGUUAGAGGUGAAAGCCCAGGGCUUAACCCUGGAAUUGCCUUUAAGACUACAUCGCUAGAAUCGUGGAGAGGUGAGUGGAAUUCCGAGUGUAGAGGUGAAAUUCGUAGAUAUUCGCAAGAACACCAGUGGCGAAGGCGGCUCACUGGCCCGAUACUGACGCUGAGGCACGAAAGCGUGGGGAGCAAACAGG
rnacentral:rRNA from 1 species